GGUUGAUCCUGCCAGUAGUCAUAUGCUUGUGUUAAAGAUUAAGCCAUGCAUGCCUAAGAACAUACCAUUUCAUGGUAGCAUCUGCGGACGGCUCCAUAGAUCAGUAAUUGUUCGUUUGGUGAUUAAACAAAUUUAUUUGUACUUGGAUAACCCUGUUAAUUGUAGAGCUAAUACAUGCAUCAAAAAGUCUAAUCGGGAGACCGAAAGGACUGCAUUUGUUCAAAAAUAAUUUCUCGGGGGCCUAAAAGGUGAGCUGGCCGGGGAGGACCCAGAGGUUUUGAUCCCAUUAUAGA
rnacentral:rRNA from 1 species